rnacentral:rRNA from 1 species
CCCUUAGAUGUUCUGGGCCGCACGCGUGCUACACUGAGUAAUUCAAUGGGUAAGGGAACGCUAGAGCAUUACCUAAUCUUGAAAUUUGCUCGUGAUGGGGAUCGACGGUUGCAAUUUUCCGUCGUGAACGAGGAAUACCUUGUAGGCGCAUGUCAUCAUCAUGCGCCGAAUACGUCCCUGCCCUUUUUACACACCGCCCGUCGCUCCUACCGAUUGAGUGAUCCGGUGAGGCUCUGGGACCUGGACGGAAAGAGCGUUUCGCUUGUUCUGUUUGGGAAACUUGGUCGAACCUUAUCAUUUAGAGGAAGGAGAAGUCGUAACA